CUGGAAGAGAAAAGAAGAAUUUUUUCAAUCAUAAAGAAUAAGAGAUAAGAAAUUAAAGUUGGUGCAUAUAGAAUAUCCCAAAGAAAGAAAAUGGAGGAGGAGGGGAGGAGGUGGUUCAUUGCCACAAGAAUCUUCAACCCUAAACCCUUAGAUGUAAAGAAAGCAGAAUGCAAUAAGAAAAAAGAGAGAGAUCCCUAAAAUCCAACCAAAAAAGCAGCCAAUUCCAAACCAAGAUAUUAUGUAAAUGGAUGAG
rnacentral:lncRNA from 1 species